rnacentral:rRNA from 1 species
GACGUAGGGUGCGAGCGUUGUCCGGAUUUAUUGGGCGUAAAGAGCUCGUAGGCGGCUCGUCGCGUCGACCGUGAAAACCCGCGGCUUAACUGCGGGCUUGCGGUUGAUACGGGCGGGCUAGAGUUCGGUAGGGGAGACUGGAAUUCCUGGUGUAGCGGUGAAAUGCGCAGAUAUCAGGAGGAACACCAGUAGCGAAGGCGGCUC